CCUGAAAGAAGAGGUGGGACUAUGUUUUAAAAGCCCUAAAUCAGACAUUCAGAAGGGGGUCUAGUCCCUAAGAGGUUGGCAGGGACGAGACAGGUGCUGGUGGAGAGCAAGUCGCAUUUCCAGUUUGGAGGACUCAGGGGCACAGGUGGGGCAGCCUUCACCUCACUCUUUCUUCAACGUUGUCUUUCCCAAGUGACCUACUCUCUGCUCAGGGCGAGGACCCAGCAGACAGCGUGCCUGCCUCUGGAGCAUCUCACCAGAUUCUAACAGACUCCGGAAGCCCUGGAUAGAAGUCAGGAAUCAGGGGGCUAGUCCUCUCAGAACUCUCCAGGCCACCCUCCCAGGAGGACGUCCUCUCUGUGCUUCCUCAGCUCGGCACCUGGCAGGUCAGUGCAUCAGGCAUUGUGAUCACGUGAAGAACUGAGUAAAAGACGUCAGCUCAGGGACCAUCAGGGUGGAAGAGCCCUGGUCAUUGGCGGGUUCCUUCUAAAGCCCUGUGCCAUGUGACCUUCCAGCCCCUGCUACAGAACAUCUGGGAAAGGAGGGCUCGCCCCUCUUAAGACAGCUGCCUUUCACGCAGCAAGUUUAUCCUGGCACUGAGCCAAGACCUGCCACCUUGUGAUGUCCAUCUCCUGGCCCCCCUCCCCCACACCAGCCCCCAGUUCCUGAGUGCACCCACCUGACACCUUGUGAGCUGCUGCUGGGCUGUAGUCCUGGUACUGGGGGGCAUAACAGUGCGAGGAGAACCCACUCUUGGCGUUCUCCCCAGGGCGCACGACAGACGUUGGCUGUGGCGGCGGUAAGUGUCUCAGAGGUUGGUCCAAGCCCCUCAUGGGACUUUGGAUGAACUCAUCUGAAAGGCCAACGUCAGGGAGUGAGGGGAGAGCAGCCCCGUUCACACAUGGUGCUCAGAGCCACCAGAACUAGAGCCCGAGACUUCUGAGCCAGAGUAGAAAGGGGAAGCUGGGUGUGGGGAAGGCAGGGCAGAGAGACCACCUGUUCCAAUAAGGCUCGGAAGGGCAGGUGAGGCAGGGAGUGAGGAACCAGGAUGGGCCCCGGCAUCCCAGACCUGCCACUCACCGUUAGGGACGCUUGCACUCAGCUGCUUGUCUGGCAUCAAAGGGCAGUUCCCACUGCCCCUGAGACUCUUCAUCCUUUUCCACAGCAAAUGUGAGGGGCUGCUGCCCGGCGGGUCCCCCUAGGUGUGGGAAGCACGGGUUGAGGGGGAGGCUGGAGCACGAGUCCUCACGCUGUGUAGGGCAGGGGUGGACACAGAGCAGCCCCUCCCUCCUGCCCCAGGGGCCAUGGAGGGAACCCAUGCAGCGCUGUCCCGAGCUGGCGCACCUCUCUCCCAUCCUGGAAGGCUUGCUCCUCAUACUCCAGCUGUCGCUUCAGCUUCAGCUUGUUGGAGAGGGCGACCAUGGCCGGGCUCAUCACGUCUGGGCCCUGCGGCCCAAAGCCCUUUGCAGACCUGCCAAGCCUGAGAGAGAGCAGACGUGAGGGAGCCUGGAGCCCCACACCCAGGGCGCCCCCGAGGGCCCUUCCAGAACAAACACUUAUGACAGUGGUGGCUCUAAGACCCCAAGGGCAGAGUCAGAGGAGGGGUGGUGGGCUUGAGGCCCUGAGCUGUGGUGCUGCCUCUUUUCCUCAUGAUGGUUCAAGUCACCUGUACCUCCCACCCACCCAGUUGUAUGUACCCAGGCAGCCUGCAGUCCUAGCCUCUUUUGAGACUGUCCAGCUGGGUUUCAGCAGUCUUGCAGCAGGUUUCUUCUGCCCCGUCUCCCCUGGAGUGCCCCCCGCUGAGGAGCAGGGGGCUGCUCCGUAAAAGGCAAGGGCCCCAGAGAAGCAUAACUAAUAGGCCCUGGGACCUGGAAGUCCCAUACCAACCGUGUAACAGCCCAGAAAGCUCCCAGCAGUUAGAACGGGGCUUACUGGGGGAGACUGGGAGGAGCUGGGAGAAGGCAGGAUGGGGAGGGCGGUGCUGAGCACGGGGCAGCUGAAGGUGGGGGAAGGCAUGGGCACCUUUUCACUGUUCUCAACCAGGGUUCCCUGAGAGAACCGUCACUCCAUUUUUUUGUGUGUCCUACAGCUCAGGUAAUGAACCCUGGAUGAGAAAGGUGCUCUGAGGGGGGGUCAGGAGAGAGGGGCAUUGGUGUUCAAGGCCUGAAGAAGCCAAUUCUCUCAUUUUCCCUAUCCUCAGUCCCCUCUUGGUCCCCUCCAACCCUGAUAAAACUGUGUCCCACUUGAGUCCUCACACAUCUUGGGGCGGUUCCCCCACAGCCCCAGCUCUGGGACUUCAGAGAAGGGCUCGGAGUAGCAGACCCCUGAUGGGGCGGGGCCCUGACCUCCCCACAGCGGGCACCUGUUUGCCCCUCCCUGUUGAGCACAGCCUUUGCUGAAGCAGCCAAGCGUGUCUGCCACUCACUUCUUCUUGAACAUGGAGAUACGGGGCGCAGUGAUGGGGGGCGUCAACGGCGAUGCCCCCAGGGGCUCGGCGUGCUGGUCUUCAACAGGCCACUUCGUGGGCCCAAAAUGUAACGGUGGAUCAGGGGGCCACUGAGUGUUGGAUCUGCCCCCCAUGGAGGAGAGAGGGGUGCAGGUCUGGCCACAGCAGGGCGGCAGGGCCCCCUUGCUCCCACCGUCAAAGAAGAUGAAGGACACGGGCCGCUGCGCGGGCUCUGGCUUCUUGCUUUCCACCUGCUGCAGGUACUUGUCCAGGAGGAAGGGGCUGGGAGAUGCCGUGGGGGCCAGUGGCUGAAAGAUGUUUGUCAUUGCACUGAAGCAGUGCUGCGGGGUGGACUGGGGGUUCUCCGGCAGGAGACUCUCCUCUGGGCAGAUGGGACUGAGCUGGAAGUCCUCCCCGUCCAUGGGGAUGUAGGGGGCUAGUGUCUCUAGGUCCAGCUCAUUGAAGUCCGUCUGAGGAGACACACACAGCACAGGCAAGGCACUCAAGUAAUUGGAGCUGCUUCAGGGAUACUGUUCCACCUUAGCCCCCGUCCCUCCCAGCCCCUGCCAGAGCCAUUCCUCCCGCUACAGCCUGGCAGUGCUGCUGCCUUUACUGGUUCCCUAAAGCCCAGCAGCAGACACCUCAGAAGCGUUCCUGCGUGCGCCACCAGCCUGCCGGUGGCUUUCCUCCCUUCCUCAGCCUGUGCCCGAAUCUCCACGCUCCACUCGGUCAUCUUGUCACCACCACUCCAGCCCAGCCCUCUCUCCUUGUCCAAACCUCACCUUUGCUCCCACAGCCUGGGCAAGCCUACCUCUUCCAGCAAGCCGUCCCUGCCUACUCUGGCCCCUGGGGAGCCAAGGGCACCUUUGUCCUCCUCUCCAGCACACAGCAGGUGCCCGGGGUGGACCUGUGGACUGCUUCUAGAGUAACCAUGGCCCCAGUGGUAGAGCGCCCUUCAUUCUAAUCCACAAGGACUCGGAGAGGCCCCUUAGGUUCCCAGUAUCGCGAUGGGCACCACGGGAAAUACACACAAGCAGACACAGAACGUUUCAACCCUCCCUGGGGGGAUGCAGCUCGAUCAAGCGCUACAUAAUGGAUCUCGUAGUGCAGAGAAGAGAGUGAGACAGGGAGUGUUGCACAAUAACGAUCAAACUGAGAGGCAAGGUGGAAAUUUGGAUGAAUAACCCAGAUUAAGACAAACGGGGAUUAAUGAUUUUCCUCUGGGCUUUCUGAAACACAUACCCGUCCACCCACCCUUAGCCCUCUUUACAUAGUUUUUGCAAGAACAUUUGGCUUCACGUUAGAAAUGUGUUUCUGAAAAAUUAUGUGUAGACAAAAAUUUGUCAAUCAGAUGUCAUUUUGAAAUACAUUUAAAAGUUAUUUCAGAGAAGCCUAAGAUGAAUAUGCUUGUAAAGGGAGUAACUGUUCCUUACGCUUACAGAAGUCUUACACAGUUGGGGUAUGCUCCUUAAAAAAAGGCUCAGGUGUGGUUUUUGUGUGCACUAGGGGAUCCGCGUUAGUAGGACGUGACUAACUUGAGAGGUAAGAGCAGAAGAGCUGGACUUGAUGUGGGUGAAGCAGGUGCUCACAGGCUCCUACUGCCCGUGCCCUCACCUGGCUAAGGACCAUGGCCCAGCAUUCCCCCCGGUCUUUGCCACGAAGGGCCGAGGCUACAAGAACGGGCGGGAGCCUUCACCACCGCCAGCUGCCAGGCACAGUGCACCCACCCCGCUCUUCUCUCCAUGGCCACCUACCUGGGUGCUGCACUGGUCCUUUGCCUCUGUAUCCAUGGCAAAGAGCUUUUCAAUCGCUUCAAUCUUCAGAUCAUUAUCCAGAGACGUGUAAUAGUCUCCAGGGCUGCUGGGCUGGGGGCCAGGGAGGAAGAAGCAAAGUCAAGGCUCUGGCACUCUCUCCCCCGAAGCCCGAGGGGGAAGGAGAAAUGCAUUUCUGGACCCAGAGCUUCAACUCCAUUCCACCGAACAAGAACACAUAGUGCGGCCGCGCUCUACGAGCUGUGUGAAUUAGGUCAGUUCAUCUACUUCUUUGACCCUCAGUCUCCUCAUCAUUAAAUGAGGCUGUCUUGAGGAGCAAACUCUACGUAUCUAUGCCCCAAGCAGGAUGGUUACUGCCUUGCACCGAGCUGUGUGCGACUCAGUACCCGUCUUCAAGGCCCUUAGCACGUAGGUGGGGUGGGGCUGGGUACCAACAGCAAGCAGCAGCUGGAACACCUGGCAGGUGUCACAGCCAUGCUCCGGGGCUCCAGGAUGACAUGAGUAGGAGGAGGGCGGCAGCUCGGUCUGGGCUGUCCACUCAGCCAUCCUGCAGCAGCCAGAGGGAGGGGCCCGCCCUCUCCAUGGCCUCAACCCAAGGGGUGCUCACCGUGGAGCAGCUGCUGCUGGUGGCACUGGGGGUGGUACUCCCCGGGGCGGCUGCCUGGGGCACGGUGAAGGCAGGCAGGCUCCUGGCCUCGCUGUGGGCGCCAUGGCUCCUCAACCCUCCAGUCCACUGCUGGCCGGGGGGCGGGAUGGCCUUGCCGUAGGCUGAGGACUCCUCAAAGUUCGGGCUCCCUGUGGAGACAAGCACCUGGCUCGGUUAACACCCACAGCCACUGGGCUCAGCCCCGGGACAGAGAAAGCCCAACAGAUAUAUAAGAAAUCCUGAAAGGGGCUGGAGCAGGCCUGGGGCCCGGUGCUCUGGGCUGAGCUGGACCAGAGGGCCUUCAGCGGGGGUGUGAGUCAGUCUCCAGCUUUGCUUCAGAGGGAACAGUACCUGGGCCUUUAGUUUUUAGAGAUUAAAUACAUUAGGAUCUGCUCCUCCUUGAAAGGCAGGCUAGAAUGUAGGGGAGGCGGUUAUGAGAACUGGGCAGUUUGCCUCAUUACUGCACGAAACAGGGAAGCUCCCAGGCUCUCUGUCUCUUUGUGAUUCUCUGGAGUCACGACUCACCCACCUUCUUAAGAACACACUGAACAGGGCUGAGACACUCCAGAGCCAGCACAGGGAGGUACAGCUAUUCCUCACGUGGCCACAGCCGGGCUGGGGGUGAUGGUGGGUUGCAGUGUGGGAGAGGGGCUCCCCAGGUAUACAUCAAGGGUGCUGCUAGCACGGAGGUGGGGCCGAAAGGACUCUCACCUCCAAGGGGCAGGCAAAGCUAUAAAGGAGUGCAUGUAAGGGCUUACUCCUGGGUCUGUGCAUGUAAGGGCUUACUCCUGGGUCUAAAUCUUUCCUCCCAACAUAUCGACCCAGCCCUCUGCCUAAAUAACCAAUCUGUCCUUCAAGGCCCAGGUGGAGAUCUGUCCUCUCUGUGAAAACGUGCCAGUGGCCUCGGAGCCCAUCCCUCACUGACCCACUCUCUUGUCUCAGGCUCCCUCUGCCUGCUGUAGAGAACCAGCCCCUCAGGAGGGAGUUCUCUGGAGCUCUACCUGGCUCAGUGCUUUGUAAGAUCAGAAAUAGGACAGUCUUAAACCAGGGUAAGUGCAUGUGCCCAGCACAGGGGCUGGUGACUAAGAGAUGAUAAGCAAGACGCAGGGGCUGCACAGGGUAACUCUGAUUAAGGAAAAGCUGUGUCCAGGGAGGCAUCCCCCACCCAAGAGGAUCUGAGGGGCCCCGGCUCAGCUAAGAAGCACCCACCGAAAUCCAGAGAAAUGAUGGCAUCUCCGGCCAUGGGGGCCAGCUGGGCCAGCUCCUCGGGCUCUUCCUUCAGCUUGCUGAACAGGAAGCUGCUCUUCUCAGACACAGGCACCUUGCCACUGUUGUCAAAGAUGCUGUCCAUGGCCAUCAGGUGCGACUUGAACGGGGACUCCGUCUGGUCCAUGGAGAACACCACGUCAUUCUUCUCAAUCUCACUGGUGGGAUAAGAGGGUGCUUCAGACCUUCCAGUUUCCAGCAAAAUCCUUUUGCUCCCCAGACCCAUGGAAGCCCUGAGAGCUAAGCCUCCCAGACAGAAACGUGGGUAUGGACACUCUGUCGGCAUUUUGUAAAGAGUGCCCUACGAGAACGUCUGUCUUAGAUGCUGUUUUAAUAUUGUACGUGGCUGCAUGGGGAGCAAGAGACUUGAAGGCCUUUGUUUUCGUUUGCUUCACCCCACAAUGCCUUUCUCUAGCUUUCUUCCCAGGUGCCGUGGAGGGAACGUGUUACACCUUCUCCCAGAAAGCACAAGCGAUUCUCUGCCCGUGGUCCCCAUUCAGAAAAAAGUAGGUGGUGACUGUGUUCUACCUGCCUCCCCAGGUGGGUCAGAGGCAUGACAGAGAUGACAGACAAUGGGGAAGGGGUAGGAAAAACGUCUAAAGAGGAAAUCCCAGUGUUCCACUGUUCCUGGGACAUCCAUGGGAGUCCCUUGGGUCCCAAGGAUUAGCACUGCUGAGAGCUCGCAGCUGUGGUGCCCGGCUUCUAGGCGGUUCAAUGCUCCUGGGCCUGCAUUCUCAGUCUGGCACCCUCCCCAGCUCAGGCACCCUGCACCCCCAGCCCCUGGCCCUUGCACACUCACCUCAGGACGUAGUUCACGCACAUAAUGCACUGGGGCUGCAGGUUGCGAGGGUUGUAGAUGACCGUCCCCUGUGUCUCCAGCCAUACAUAGCCCCCAUGCUUUGCAAGCAUCCGGUACUGG